UUUUUAACCUGGUGCAGAGGGUUAGAAGCAAAAGCUACCCAAAAGGGCUGGUAUCUCAGUCCUGCAACAGGCAGGACCAAUCUCCAAUUAGCAGACACAAUAUGCAUGUGUGCUGCUUGGAAUGCUCCUUCCCCCCCCUCCCCCACCACCACCAAUGCCACUCACUCACUUUCUGCUGAGCAGAUGAACAGCUACCCUCCUGCUCCAGAAAUGAUGCUGUAAAACAAGUUUGACUUUAAAGAUAUAUUCAGGCAGAAAGGAGGAAAACACCAGGAUGUCAUCUAAGUAGUAGACCACUACGCAGGGAUGAAGCAGAUCAGGAAAGAUGUCAUUGAUGAAGUCCUGAAAAUCUAAUGGAGCAUUACAUAAACCAAAAGUUCCCUGGAUUAUCAAUCAGCUGACUUAUUGGAGGUGGCAGGUUAAUCAAAGCGACAAACUGAAAUCAUUUGUACCAGAUUAUCUGUCUUUCCAAACUCUGACAGAUGCUAAGUCCAGCUGGUACAAAAAGUUUAUAGGCGAGCUGAAUCUGGGGUCUUCACACACUCCACAAUGUUGGCUACCAAUUCUUGUUUUAAUGAGUCACGAAUUGCCUGUUUAUCUUCUGUUCCCUGCUGUUUCUGCAUUUUCUCUUCCAGAACAAUCCCAGAAACACAUGCUGCUACAGACGCUGUUGCAACUUGUAUAGAAAUUUGAGCCAAAUCAUUAUAAAGAACUUUUUUUCCUGUACUAUAAAAAACAAUAAAACUAUACACUGUAUGACAAA